AGCUAACGCAUUAAGCACUCCGCCUGGGGAGUACGACCGCAAGGUUGAAACUCAAAGGAAUUGACGGGGGCCCGCACAAGCGGUGGAGCAUGUGGUUUAAUUCGAAGCAACGCGAAGAACCUUACCAGGUCUUGACAUCCUUUGACCACUCUAGAGAUAGAGCUUCCCCUUCGGGGGCAAAGUGACAGGUGGUGCAUGGUUGUCGUCAGCUCGUGUCGUGAGAUGUUGGGUUAAGUCCCGCAACGAGCGCAACCCUUAUUGUUAGUUGCCAUCAUUYAGUUGGGCACUCUAGCAAGACUGCCGGUGACAAACCGGAGGAAGGUGGGGAUGACGUCAAAUCAUCAUGCCCCUUAUGACCUGGGCUACACACGUGCUACAAUGGGAAGUACAACGAGUCGCGAAGUCGCGAGGCUAAGCUAAUCUCUUAAAGCUUCUCUCAGUUCGGAUUGUAGGCUGCAACUCGCCUACAUGAAGCCGGAAUCGCUAGUAAUCGCGGAUCAGCACGCCGCGGUGAAUACGUUCCCGGGCCUUGUACACACCGCCCGUCACACCACGA
rnacentral:rRNA from 1 species